rnacentral:rRNA from 1 species
AUUGGGUUUAAAGGGUGCGCAGGCGGCGCGCCAAGUCAGCGGUCAAAGUUCCGGGCUCAACCCGGUGUCGCCGUUGAAACUGGCGUGCUCGAGUGCGUGCGAGGAAGGCGGAAUGCGUUGUGUAGCGGUGAAAUGCAUAGAUAUGACGCAGAACUCCGAUUGCGAAGGCAGCUUUCCAGCGCGCUACUGACGCUGAGGCACGAAAGCGUGGGGAUCGAACAGGAUUAGAUACCCUGGUAGUCCACGCAGUAAACGAUGACUACUAGCUUUCCGGGAUGAUUGAGUCCUGGGAGGCACAGCGAAAGCGUUAAGUAGUCCACCUGGGGAGUACGCCGGCAACGGUGAAACUCAAAGGAAUUGACGGGGGCCCGCACAAGCGGAGGAACAUGUGGUUUAAUUCGAUGAUACGCGAGGAACCUUACCCGGGCUCAAACGACAGCGGACAGCUCCCGAAAGGGGGUCUCCGGCAACGGCCGCUGUCGAGGUGCUGCAUGGUUGUCGUCAGCUCGUGCCGUGAGGUGUCGGCUUAAGUGCCAUAACGAGCGCAACCCCCAUCUCCAGUUGCCACCGGGUCGUGCCGGGCACUCUGGAGGGACUGCCAGCGCAAGCUGCGAGGAAGGCGGGGAUGACGUCAAAUCAGCACGGCCCUUACGUCCGGGGCGACACACGUGUUACAAUGGCGGAGAACAGAGGGGAGCCACGUGGCGACACGGAGCCGAUCCCUAAAAUCCGUCUCAGUUCGGAUUGGAGUCUGCAACCCGACUCCAUGAAGCUGGAUUCGCUAGUAAUCGCGCAUCAG